rnacentral:tRNA from 1 species
AAAGACCGGACAGGCCCAAAAGUGCCUGUCCUCCCGCAAUCAGUCGGAAGCUGAAAUGUCGACCAGGACCAAAUAAAGCGAAAAAAAAAUCCAGCUAUAAUAUUCAUCAAGCUGGGCAUAGGAUAUAGGGCUUGUAGCUCAGCUGGUAGAGCGCCGCCUUUGCAAGGCGGAGGCCCUGGGUCCGAAUCCCAGCAAGUCCAUUGAAAACAUGCACACAUUGAGGUAGACUCGAUGUGGAAGGGCCGAGGUCACAGUCCGUCGAUGACGCAAAAGGACUGUGUCCGAAGAAGCCGUGCACAAGCUUUGCGACCAGACGCUCACUGAGUUUAGUGGGGCAUA